UAAGCGGAGGAAAGAAACUAACAAGGAUUCCCCUAGUAACUGCGAGUGAAGCGGGAAAAGCUCAAAUUUGGAAUCUGGUGGUCUUUGGCCAUNCGAGUUGUAAUUUAGAGAAGCGUCUUCCGCGCUGGACCGUGCACAAGUCUCCUGGAAUGGAGCGUCAUAGAGGGUGAGAAUCCCGUCUUUGGCACGGAAUCCCAGGGCUUCUGUGAUGCGCUCUCGACGAGUCGAGUUGUUUGGGAAUGCAGCUCAAAAUGGGUGGUGAACUCCAUCUAAAGCUAAAUAUUGGCGAGAGACCGAUAGCGAACAAGUACCGUGAGGGAAAGAUGAAAAGCACUUUGGAAAGAGAGUGAAACAGUACGUGAAAUUGUUGAAAGGGAAACGCUUGAAGUCAGUCGCGUCGACCGAGACUCAGCCUCGCCUUGGCUUGGUGUAAUUCUCGGCUGACGGGUCAGCAUCAAUUUUGCCUCUUGGAUAAUGGCGAGGGAAAUGUGACACCUUUACGGUGUGUUAUAGUCUCUCGUCGCAUGCAAGGGUUGGGAUUGAGGAACUCAGCACGCGCCUUCGGGUGUCGGGGUUACGCCCACGAUACGUGCUUAGGAUGUUGGCGUAAUGGCUUUAAACGACC
rnacentral:rRNA from 1 species